rnacentral:rRNA from 1 species
GGUUUGUGUUCCAAAUGAUUUAUCGCCGUAGGAUGGGACUGCGGCCUAUCAGUUUGUUGGUGAGGUAAUGGCCCACCAAGACUAUUACAGGUACGGGCUCUGAGAGGAGUAGCCCGGAGAUGGGUACUGAGACACGGACCCAGGCCCUAUGGGGCGCAGCAGGCGAGAAAACUUUGCAAUGUGCGAAAGCACGACAAGGUUAAUCCGAGUGGUUUGUGCUAAACGAACCUUUUGACAGUCCUAGAAACACUGUUGAAUAAGGGGUGGGCAAGUUCUGGUGUCAGCCGCCGCGGUAAAACCAGCACCUCAAGUGGUCAGGAUGAUUAUUGGGCCUAAAGCAUCCGUAGCCGGCUCUGUAAGUUUUCGGUUAAAUCUGUACGCUCAACGUACAGGCUGCCGGGAAUACUGCAGAGCUAGGGAGUGGGAGAGGUAGACGGUACUCGGUAGGAAGGGGUAAAAUCCUUUGAUCUAUUGAUGACCACCUGUGGCGAAGGCGGUCUACCAGAACACGUCCGACGGUGAGGGAUGAAAGCUGGGGGAGCAAACCGGAUUAGAUACCC